rnacentral:tRNA from 1 species
GGGACGUUGUUGUAGUGGUAGCAUGGCUGGUUUGGGUAGAAGGUUUUUUUUCAAGAUUUUCGCCUUCUUGUGUGGGCCAGAGGGGGUCGGUUCGAGUCCGACACGUCGCA